AAAUUGAAGAGUUUGAUCAUGGCUCAGAUUGAACGCUGGCGGCAGGCCUAACACAUGCAAGUCGAACGGUAACAGGAAGCAGCUUGCUGCUUUGCUGACGAGUGGCGGACGGGUGAGUAAUGUCUGGGAAACUGCCUGAUGGAGGGGGAUAACUACUGGAAACGGUGGCUAAUACCGCAUAACGUCGCAAGACCAAAGAGGGGGACCUUCGGGCCUCUUGCCAUCAGAUGUGCCCAGAUGGGAUUAGCUUGUUGGUGAGGUAACGGCUCACCAAGGCGACGAUCCCUAGCUGGUCUGAGAGGAUGACCAGCCACACUGGAACUGAGACACGGUCCAGACUCCUACGGGAGGCAGCAGUGGGGAAUAUUGCACAAUGGGCGCAAGCCUGAUGCAGCCAUGCCGCGUGUAUGAAGAAGGCCUUCGGGUUGUAAAGUACUUUCAGCGGGGAGGAAGGUGUUGUGGUUAAUAACCGCAGCAAUUGACGUUACCCGCAGAAGAAGCACCGGCUAACUCCGUGCCAGCAGCCGCGGUAAUACGGAGGGUGCAAGCGUUAAUCGGAAUUACUGGGCGUAAAGCGCACGCAGGCGGUCUGUCAAGUCGGAUGUGAAAUCCCCGGGCUCAACCUGGGAACUGCAUUCGAAACUGGCAGGCUUGAGUCUUGUAGAGGGGGGUAGAAUUCCAGGUGUAGCGGUGAAAUGCGUAGAGAUCUGGAGGAAUACCGGUGGCGAAGGCGGCCCCCUGGACAAAGACUGACGCUCAGGUGCGAAAGCGUGGGGAGCAAACAGGAUUAGAUACCCUGGUAGUCCACGCCGUAAACGAUGUCUACUUGGAGGUUGUGCCCUUGAGGCGUGGCUUCCGGAGCUAACGCGUUAAGUAGACCGCCUGGGGAGUACGGCCGCAAGGUUAAAACUCAAAUGAAUUGACGGGGGCCCGCACAAGCGGUGGAGCAUGUGGUUUAAUUCGAUGCAACGCGAAGAACCUUACCUGGUCUUGACAUCCACAGAACUUUCCAGAGAUGGACUGGUGCCUUCGGGAACUGUGAGACAGGUGCUGCAUGGCUGUCGUCAGCUCGUGUUGUGAAAUGUUGGGUUAAGUCCCGCAACGAGCGCAACCCUUAUCCUUUGUUGCCAGCGAUUAGGUCGGGAACUCAAAGGAGACUGCCAGUGAUAAACUGGAGGAAGGUGGGGAUGACGUCAAGUCAUCAUGGCCCUUACGACCAGGGCUACACACGUGCUACAAUGGCGCAUACAAAGAGAAGCGACCUCGCGAGAGCAAGCGGACCUCAUAAAGUGCGUCGUAGUCCGGAUUGGAGUCUGCAACUCGACUCCAUGAAGUCGGAAUCGCUAGUAAUCGUGGAUCAGAAUGCCACGGUGAAUACGUUCCCGGGCCUUGUACACACCGCCCGUCACACCAUGGGAGUGGGUUGCAAAAGAAGUAGGUAGCUUAACCUUCGGGAGGGCGCUUACCACUUUGUGAUUCAUGACUGGGGUGAAGUCGUAACAAGGUAACCGUAGGGGAACCUGCGGUUGGAUCACCUCCUUA
rnacentral:rRNA from 11 species